rnacentral:rRNA from 1 species
CCUACGGGGGGCUGCAGUCGAGAAUCAUUCACAAUGGGGGAAACCCUGAUGGUGCGACGCCGCGUGGGGGAAUGAAGGUCUUCGGAUUGUAAACCCCUGUCAUGUGGGAGCAAAUUAAAAAGAUAGUACCACAAGAGGAAGAGACGGCUAACUCUGUGCCAGCAGCCGCGGUAAUACAGAGGUCUCAAGCGUUGUUCGUAAUCACUGGGCGUAAGGCGUGCGUAGGCUGUUUCGUAAGUCGUGUGUGAAAGGCGCGGGCUCAACCCGCGGACGGCACAUGAUACUGCGAGACUAGAGUAAUGGAGGGGGGACCGGAAUUCUCGGUGUAGCAGUGAAAUGCGUAGAGAUCGAGAGGAACACUCGUGGCGAAGGCGGGUUCCUGGACAUUAACUGACGCUGAGGCACGAAGGCCAGGGGAGCGAAAGGGAUUAGAUACCCUAGUAGUC